rnacentral:rRNA from 1 species
AUGAACGCUGGCGGCGUGCCUAAUACAUGCCAGUCGAGCGCACGGACGAGAAGCUUGCUUCUCUGAUGUUAGCGGCGGACGGGUGAGUAACACGUGGAUAACCUACCUAUAAGACUGGGAUAACUUCGGGAAACCGUAGCUAAUACCGGAUAAUAUUUUGAACCGCAUGGUCCAAAAGUGAAAGACGGUCUUGCUGUCACUUAUAGAUGGAUCCGCGCUGCAUUAGCUAGUUGGUAGGGUAACGGCUUACCAAGGCAACGAUGCAUAGCCGACCUGAGAGGGUGAUCGGCCACACUGGAACUGAGACACGGUCCAGACUCCUACGGGAGGCAGCAGUAGGGAAUCUUCCGCAAUGGGCGAAAGCCUGACGGAGCAACGCCGCGUGAGUGAUGAAGGUCUUCGGAUCGUAAAACUCUGUUAUUAGGGAAGAACAUAUGUGUAAGUAACUGUGCACAUCUUGACGGUACCUAAUCAGAAAGCCACGGCUAACUACGUG